rnacentral:rRNA from 1 species
CCCUUAGAUGUCCUGGGCCGCACGCGCGCUACACUGAACGGAUCAGCGCGUUUUCCCUUCCCGAGAGGGACGGGUAACCUGCUGAACCCCGUUCGUGGUAGGGAUCGGGGCUUGCAAUUAUUCCCCGUGAACCAGGAAUGCCCAGUAAGUGCAAGUCAUAAGCUUGCGUUGAUUACGUCCCUGCCCUUUGUACACACCGCCCGUCGCUACUACCGAUUGAACGUUUUAGUGAGGUACUCGGACUGAGCCUCAGAAGAUUCACGUCUUUUGUGCUGCACGGGAAGAUUCCCAAACUUGAGCGUUUAGAGGAAGUAAAAGUCGUAACA